rnacentral:misc_RNA from 1 species
AAAAAAAAAAAAAAAAAAAAAACCAAUUUUGAAACCCGUCACAGGUUGGCAUUCUAGUCAGGCAGUAUAGCAACUGUAACAUUUGUAAUUGUUUUAGAUCAAUUUUCUCAAAUUAUUGUUUAUAUGAAUUCCAUAAUCUGAAACAUGAAAAAGAAAAAUAAUAAAAAGCAUUGUUUAUUUGUUGGUUUAUUCUCUUGUCCCUUUUAGGUGGGGUGGGGAGGUUAACCUAAGCAAUGCAAGCUUUAAGCCUUC